rnacentral:rRNA from 1 species
AUUGAACGCUGGCGGCAUGCCUUACACAUGCAAGUCGAACGGUAGCAGGUCUUCGGAUGCUGACGAGUGGCGAACGGGUGAGUAAUACAUCGGAACGUGCCUAGUAGUGGGGGAUAACUACUCGAAAGAGUGGCUAAUACCGCAUGAGAUCUACGGAUGAAAGCAGGGGAUCGCAAGACCUUGUGCUACUAGAGCGGCCGAUGGCAGAUUAGGUAGUUGGUGGGAUAAAAGCUUACCAAGCCGACGACCUGUAGCUGGUCUGAGAGGACGAUCAGCCACACUGGGACUGAGACACGGCCCAGACUCCUACGGGAGGCAGCAGUGGGGAAUUUUGGACAAUGGGCGCAAGCCUGAUCCAGCAAUGCCGCGGGCAGGAUGAAGGCCUUCGGGUUGUAAACUGCUUUUGUACGGAACGAAAAGCCCUGGGUUAAUACCCUGGGGUCAUGACGGUACCGUAAGAAUAAGCACCGGCUAACUACGUGCCAGCCGCCGCAGUAAAAC